UGCAGAAUCCCGUGAACCAUCGAGUCUUUGAACGCAAGUUGCGCCCGAAGCCUUCGGGCCGAGGGCACGCCUGCCUGGGCGUCACGC
rnacentral:rRNA from 2 species